CCACUCUUCAAUCCACAUGAAGAAAAGGAUCUUCCUCAGAAGAAUAGGCUUGUUGCUUUACAGUGUUAGUGAUCCAUUCCCUUUGACGAUCCCUAGGUGGAGAUGGGGCAUGAGGAUCCUCCAGGGGAAAAGCUCACUACCACUGGGCAACAACCCUAGGUCAGGAGGUUCUGUCAAGAUACUUUCCUGGUCCCAGAUAGGAAGAUAAAGUCUCAAAAACAACCACCACAAGUCAAGCUCUUCAUUGUUCCUAUCUGCCAAAUCAUUAUACUUCCUACAAGCGGUGCGGAGAGCUGAGUCUUCAGCAGGUCCAAGAAAUUUGAACACACUGAAGGAAGUCAGCCUUCCCACCUGAAGAUCAACGUGCCUGGCACUCUAGCACUUUAGGAUAGCUGAAUGAAUGUGUCUUACCCAUUUCCAUGUUUCUCUUGCUAAUUUCUUUCAUGUGUGCCUUUGCCUCAUUUUCUCUUUUUGUUCACAAGAGUGGUCUGUGUCUUGUCUUAGACAUAUCUCUCAUUUUUCAUUUUGUUGCUGUUUCUGUUUGCUCUCCUAGAUGUGGCUCUUCUUUCACGCUUUAUUUCAU
rnacentral:lncRNA from 1 species